GCACCGAAGUGAAGAACAAUCACAGGGAAACACACAGCAAAGACAGAUAAUUAGGAGGAUUUAGGGAUUCGCCUUCACUGUGAAUGUUUUAAAAUGGAAAAGGUCACAACACUUGUUUGAUUCCCGCUUGGAAUGCUUCAGGAGAACAGAAAAGCCAACACUAGGUGGUAGCACAACUCAGAAGGAAUCCCACAACUGGAGACAACGUUUCGUGGCCCGUAAUUAUCUGCUGUUGCUACAAGAGCAAGGCGAAAGAAAUCCUCAAAUUCGUCCAUCUCGGCUGCCUUCUUUCUCCUCCUACCUUCCUGCCAACGCCAGGAGCUUCAGAGGGGUCACAAACAUCUGUGACCUUUCUCUCUAAACAGGGUCCUCAGGAACAUAUCUACGAAGAGGCACUUUUCUUUGCCUGCUCUUAUAUCUACGUUUCCCGAGACGGGAGGGCGUGUCACCAGAAUGCCAUUAAAGUGAUAACUUGCUCCCUGCAGAAACGGGCGGACAACCUCUGGAUUUUCCACGACUUGAGCAAAAACAGGUUUUGUACUUGACAGGAAGAGACAGGAAAAGAAAGGGGGGGAAGGUCGGUCCCCCCUCCCCUUCUCAAACUGACUAUGGAAAACAAUAUCUAGCACACGCACAGCCCCCUGAGCGCAUAAGCUGCUGUACUUACUGUCUUUUCCGCAGUGGCCUUUGGUGAGUAGAACAGUUGCUGCUAUCAAAAGCAGUAACUGGGAAUCCACAAAGCUGAACAUGUCUAAAUAUUAGACAUGAAGACUCUUUGUAUCCUUGGUUCUGCUUUAGAGUCCAGUCAUACAGGGAGGGUCUGAUUUAUGUAGUUCCACUCCAGACCCCAGCAGAAACUUCCUACUGACUCUGUCAAAUUUGUAGACUCCCUUUUUAUAUGGUCCAGUGUCCCAGAGGUGGAUCCCUUCUUUGCUGGCUUCAGAGUUUUCGGGGUGGAGAUCCUGGGCCAGCCCCUUGGCCAAUCAGAGCAGCCCAGCCUGCCCCGAGACACGCAUACACACAUAUGCACCCACUCCCCCCAAAAAACAGAGAAUCAAAGCCAACCCCCUUUUUAACCAAUCACAGAAGAAUGGACCCUGCUCAUCUUCCUUCCCCAAACCAGUGGAUCCUCUGCGUUGACAAGUACAGUGGGCAUGGAGAGGGAGGAAUGUAAUGGGGUAUGGAUGGAGGAAUGGGGAGAUACAAAGAAAAGGGAACUUUUUUCCCCUUUAAGAGUAGUAGUUACAGGAAUGUUGGAGGGAUUAUUGCAAGAAGUGAAUGUUACCAUGCUUGCAAGAACAGGGAGCUGUAAGGUGGAAUUUUCAGUCCCUUCUUGACCUCGGACAGGCACCUGUGCAGGUGAGGCAGCAGAGGGUGGUAUAGAGCAAAAUGCGGGAGAUGUAAGAUUAAAGCACAGGGCAACAUCGCUGACACUGAACAGGACCUUUCUGAGAUCCCCGAAGUUUUUGCUUUGUGUGUUACAAAACCUCAGGCAUUUGAGUAGGAUUCUGAACAGAUCUGGUAAGAUGCCUCUUUCCCUCUGACACCACUUCUUCCAUCAAAAAAAAAGCUACAGUUUCUGGAUGGGUUUUUUUUAAACAUGUCUAUGUUUAAGGCUGCCCGGGCUAAAAUGGCACACAGACUUGGAAAUAAUGGAACAUUUGCAUGUGCACAUAUCAGGAUUGAACAAUUCUUGAAAAGUCAUAAUGCAUUAAAAAGUCGUACUGCCUUUUUUUGCCC